AUGUGUACAGUGUGCCCAGUUAAGCAUCCUGGAGUUCAGUAUAUGUUCUAUAGGGUCUGAUAAUGGUCCAGCUUUUGUUCAUCAAUGUCUGCAACAACUAACUCAUGUACUUGGUAUUAAGUGGUGGCUACAUACUGCUUAUAGACCUCAGAGCUCUGGAAAGGUGGAAAGAAUAAACAGAACAAUAAAGACUCAGUUAGCUAAAGUGUGC